rnacentral:rRNA from 1 species
UACAGAGGGUGCGAGCGUUAAUCGGAAUCAUUGGGCGUAAAGCGCGUGUAGGCGGUCCGGUAAGUCCGCUGUGAAAGUCGGGGGCUCAACCCUCGGAUGCCGGUGGAUACUGUCGGGCUUGAGUACGGAAGAGGCGAGUGGAAUUCCUGGUGUAGCGGUGAAAUGCGCAGAUAUCAGGAGGAACACCAAUUGCGAAGGCAGCUCGCUGGGACGUUACUGACGCUGAGACGCGAAAGCGUGGGGAGCAAACAGG